rnacentral:rRNA from 1 species
CCAACCGAGAAGCUAACAAGGGGGAACUACCUCCUUUGGAAAGCCCAAGUGAUGCCGGCCCUGCGAGGUGCGCAGGUGACCAGUCUCUUGGAUGCCAGCGACGCCGCACCACCGAAGACGGUGGAGAUCGCGCAAGCGGACAAGACCACGACAAUAGGGCCCAAUCCCUUGUAUGGUCCGUGGCUGGCAAAGGAUCAGCAGGUUCUGAGCUACCUGCUGAACUCGCUAUUGCAAGAAAUUCUUGCGCAGGUCAUCGGUAAGGAGAAUACCUUCGACCUUUGGACUGCUCUUACGACUCUGUUCGUCUCGCAGUCAUAG